UACGGAGGGGGCUAGCGUUGUUCGGAAUUACUGGGCGUAAAGCGCACGUAGGCGGACCAUCAAGUCGGGGGUGAAAUCCCGGGGCUCAACCCCGGAACUGCCUCCGAGACUGUUGGUCUGGAGGUCGGGAGAGGCGAGUGGAAUUCCGAGUGUAGAGGUGAAAUUCGUAGAUAUUCGGAGGAACACCAGUGGCGAAGGCGGCUCGCUGGCCCGAUACUGACGCUGAGGUGCGAAAGCGUGGGGAGCAAACAGGAUUAGAUACCCCCGUAGUCC
rnacentral:rRNA from 1 species